rnacentral:rRNA from 1 species
GACGAGAGUCUGAACCAGCCAUGCCGCGUGUAGGAAGACGGCCUUCUGGGUUGUAAACUACUUUUAUAUGGGAAGAAAAAAGCCUUGCGAGGCGAAUUGACGGUACCAUACGAAUAAGCACCGGCUAACUCCGUGCCAGCAGCCGCGGUAAUACGGGGGAUGCAAGCGUUAUCCGGAAUCAUUGGGUUUAAAGGGUCCGCAGGCGGUCAAUUAAGUCAGAGGUGAAAUCCCAUAGCUUAACUAUGGAACUGCCUUUGAUACUGGUUGACUUGAGUUAUACGGAAGUAGAUAGAAUAAGUAGUGUAGCGGUGAAAUGCAUAGAUAUUACUUAGAAUACCAAUUGCGAAGGCAGAUCACUAAUAAUAUAUUGACGCUGAUGGACGAAAGCGUGGGGAGCGAACAGGAUUAGAUACCCUGGUAGUCCACGCCGUAAACGAUGGUCACUAGCUGUUCG